CAGUACCAAGGCUUGAGUCUCGAAGCAAAUCUCCAAAUCCAUAUUUGGUAAAGUAUCUGAGUAUAAUCCCAUUAAUGUCUUUAGAACAAGAGUUCCUGCAUACAUUUAAGGAGAUUUCAACCCACUUGUCUGUUGCUGUAAAAGCAGCUGUCUGGCUGCCUGCAAUGCCUGCAAGUUAAGACAACAUGGAAAACCAGUCUAACAUUCCCUGAGUGGCACCUGAAUGAAGAGAACCUACUCUCUGGAUCACUAUAC